CGGCGCUGAGGCGGCGGCGGCGGAGGUUCGGCUGCGGCUCCGCGCUGGAGGCUCCGCGGCGCUGCCUCCCGCAGCCCCAUGAUGUGCCUGGAAAGCGACGGCUCCUCCGGCAGCAGCCCGGCUUGCGGCGGGCGGCUCCGAGCCGGUGACGAGGAAGAGGAGGAGGAGGAGGAGGAGGAGGAAGAAGAGGGCGAGAGAGGCUGCUGCGGCCGGGGAGCGGAGGGCGAGGUGCAGACGCUGUCGGGCAGCAUGAACCCGCCGCCCGAGCGCCCCGCAGCCCGUCGCAAGGCACCGAGCCUCGGCCGGGCACGCGUGGCGGCCGCCGGCAUCCUCAGCGUGGGCAACGUGCUCAACUACCUGGACCGGUACACGGUGGCAGGUGUGUUACUAGACAUCCAGCAGCACUUUGGAGUCAAAGACAGUGGGGCUGGCUUACUACAGACAGUUUUCAUCUGCAGUUUCAUGGUUGCGGCACCCAUCUUUGGUUACCUUGGGGACCGUUUCAACAGAAAGAUCAUUCUCAGCUGUGGGAUCUUCUUCUGGUCAGCUGUCACUUUUUCCAGCUCUUUCAUCACUGAACAGUAUUUCUGGCUUCUUGUGCUCUCACGAGGUUUGGUUGGCAUCGGUGAAGCAAGUUACUCCACUAUUGCUCCAACCAUCAUCGGAGACCUUUUCACCAAAAACACGAGGACCCUUAUGCUGUCUGUUUUCUACUUUGCAAUUCCUCUUGGCAGUGGCUUGGGAUACAUUACUGGAUCAAGUGUGAAGCAAGUUGCUGGAGACUGGCACUGGGCAUUGCGGGUAUCUCCACUCCUAGGAAUGAUAACAGGGACACUCAUCUUGAUAUUUGUACCCGCUGCUAAAAGAGGAAAUGUUGAACAACUUGGGGGACAGCUGAAGGCUCGGACCUCAUGGCUAAGAGACAUGAAGGCACUGAUUAGAAACCGCAGCUAUGUGUUCUCCUCACUGGCCACCUCAGCUGUCUCUUUUGCCACUGGGGCGCUCGGCAUGUGGAUCCCUCUCUACCUUCACAGAGCACAAGUUGUGCAGAAGACUGCAGAGAUUUGCAACUCGCAGCCCUGUGGCACCAAAGAUAGCUUGAUCUUUGGAGCAAUCACAUGCUUCACCGGUUUCCUGGGUGUUAUCACAGGAGCUGGGGCAACCAAAUGGUGCCGCUUAAAAACCCAGCGAGCUGAUCCUCUUGUCUGUGCUGUUGGCAUGCUGGGGUCAGCCAUCUUCAUCUGUCUGAUCUUCGUUGCUGCCAAGAGCAGCAUUGUGGGAGCCUAUAUUUGCAUUUUUAUUGGAGAAACUCUUCUGUUUUCAAACUGGGCUAUCACAGCAGACAUACUAAUGUAUGUGGUCAUCCCAACGCGCCGUGCAACCGCAGUGGCCUUGCAGAGCUUCACUUCACACCUCCUGGGAGAUGCUGGCAGUCCUUAUCUGAUUGGAUUUAUCUCAGACCUGAUACGACAAAGCACAAAGGAGUCCCCGCUCUGGGAGUUCCUCAGCUUGGGGUAUGCACUCAUGCUCUGCCCAUUUGUCGUUGUCCUAGGAGGGAUGUUUUUCCUGGCCACAGCCCUCUUCUUCCUAAGUGACCGAGCCAAAGCUGAACAACAUAAAGAAACCGAUUCGGACCACCUCACGGUUGGCAACUACAGUAAUUCAGAAGACGCUUCCACAUGACAUACACACUCCUGGGGGUGAAUCACCUCGUGAUGCCACCAGCCUCCGUGAAAGUCUGAGACGUUGCCAGUGAAGGAAACCACGUGUGGACUCCUGCUUCCACCACCACAAUCUCCAGCUUGAAGCCCUUCCAUACUGGAACUGGCGGCUCCUUCAGCUCCACGCCACCCCAGGAGGGUUCUCCAGCACCAAACCCAUCGCGGCGCUCCGCCUGCAGGGCCAGGCAGCAGGAGAUGAGCAGGGCAGCCUGGAACGCAGCGCUGCUGAAGCGUAAGGACAUUCCCAGGUUCCUCUGAGCAUCGCAAGCAACUCUCCGCCGGCCCCACAACGCGCUACCCAAGUGAGUGACUGUAGAUUGUGUAUAUGGUUUUAGUUGUAGCCGAUGAAGUCCACAUCGUUUAUAGGACAACCUCCGUCCUAGCAAAUGCUGCUGUUCUGCCAGCACUCCCGCACCCAGAGACUGCACUAGUUGGGGACCUGUUCUGUACAUCACCUUUUCUUUAACACUGAAGGCUCAAUUCAGAUUAUUAUUUUUUAUUUAAAUACGUCGUAAGAUGCUUUAUCUCUGCUGAAGACAUAUAUAUAAAUAUAUAUAUUUAGAUAAACAGUUUUUAUUUAAAUGUUUGAGAUCUGGAGCUGCCUGUGCAACCCUACCAGCCAUGAAUACGUCCACAACUCUCCUCAUCUCAGUGCCCUGCUAUCAGGCCCUGGAGGGGCACCACAGGACGAGUCCCAGGGGAUGGAUGACUGCCUGUCACCUGAGGCUGAGCAAUGGGACAGAGGAGAGAGUUUCAGUGCACUGGGUAUGCUGGUGGUUGUUACAGAAAGGCCCAGAACUUUUGACAGAAAUACCUAGGGGCUCCAGAUUUUGCUCAGUAUCCUAAAUUCAGCCUUGCCUAGGAGAUUCACAGGUUUUUAAAAUACCAAAAUCCAGCUGGCUGAAUUGCUUUACCUAGGGCCUGGUAGUGCAAUACUGCUAUGCCAGUGACAUCAUGCUUUGUUUACACGCAUAUCAUGGUAUGUGUAUUGUCAGUGCUAAUUCUCCCUUGUCAGUAUUUUUAAAGCAGGUGGCUGAUACUCUACAGCAGCUGUUCCCUUUGGAACAAUGGUUAGGUAUAAUGCAUGUCCAUCCCCAAGCACACUCCCAGCCUACUCUUACUGGGGUGUCAGUUAAUCAUUUAUCUUUAUGAAGAUGUACUUGAGAUCUUUAAUAUACAAGGCCAGUGUCUGAACUGAGUUAGAGUUUCAAAUGCAGAAGAGUGUGUCUGUAAAGCACUCAGAGUGCCAUUCCCCAAGAGUCUUAUGUCCUGCACUUGACCUCCACAAGCCAAAUUUAUGCUAUGUCAGCUUGAUGCUGCAGGAGUGUGGGGAAGGAGGGAGAGCACAGACCCUGGAGAAAAAGUCAGGCUUCCAGAGAAAGGGCAUUCUUCCGUGAGCUCCCCACUCCCUUUGUAAUGUUCAGAUGUCUCCCAUAAUUUAGACUCUCUCCAGUUUAGUGCACACCUUGAGGUGAAUGCACCUCGCUCUUGUGCUCAUGUUUAGUAAGUAGCUGUGGCUGGGCUGCAAGUAGGACUAAAUCAGCAAAGGAACUGCAGUGCUGGGACUGGACCUGAUUUAAGCUUGGAAGUUGGCUGUCCUGAUUGUGGUGUACGUUUGUUCAGGGACAUAGGAAGGUACUGUUAGUAAAGGUGGGUUUUAUCUCUCCUUCAUUUGCAGGAUGUACUGUGAGCUACAGUACACCAUUAAUGUAAAGAUGGUCAGUAACUCCAGUUACCAGCAAACUGGUCAACACUCACUGCGUAGCCAGUCUCUGCCCAGGCAGAUGUGUUUUGAGGGUGACUCCUAUAACAACACGAGCAUUUCCUCCUCACGACCCUCCAUAGGACUAUUCUGCAGAGGCUAGUCUGUCACCUCAAAUACUUUUACAAUGGCUCUAAGAUUUGGUUAAGCAACUAGUGCCAGAAAUUUUCCUCGAGUGCUUGGGCAUCCUCUGGAAAACAGCAAGUGGGUGCUAGAAAUAAUAAAGCAAAACAAAUUCAAAACAAUGCUUCAUUUCCCACCUCGUGCCACUAUUUACGUUUGUAGGGGAAAUACCAGUGCUGUGGUCUAGGAGCCAAAUUUUUGGCUUUAAAGGCACAUGAAUUUCUGAUUCCCAUUAAGAAAUUCCUCGUUAAGCUGGCCAAAAAGAAACAAAAAGCAACCAAACAAUUAGUCAUUUCAUCUCAGAGACCAAAGAUUUGCCAUAUUUCCCAAACUGCUUUUCUGAUAGGCUCUCUCUGCUGUAGCAUUUACUGUCAACAAAAUGAAGCAUUAAUGCAAAAGUUCAGAGGUUAGGAAUUAUCCUUAAACCUAAUUCUCAGGAGUCAAUAAUGAAAAGGGAACUUAAAUAUUUGUAGUUUCACUGGCUCUCCUUGUUUGUGACAAACCCCAGUCCUUGUUGGAGAAGCUCUGCACUGUUACAGGAGGCCAGCUUUAUCUUCUGUGAAUAUGAAGGAAAUUGCUGUGGCUUUCUUUUUAACAAGGAUAAGGGGAUGGGAGUGAACAAGGGAAUGAGAAGCGAGUCCUACUUGCAACAGUUCCAUGCUAAGGGACCCCUGAAUCCCUGCUCCCACAUGUUCCAGGCUAAGAGAGGGGAGCCAAAGCAGCAGCUGUGACAGCUCAGGAGAGACGAACAGGGGAAGGGACAGAAAAUCUGGCUGCUGCCCCUUUACAUAUUCAUGGAUCCAUAUUCAAAUAGCUAGAAGCUGAAAGGUUGGAUUUUGAGCGUCUUGAUUUAGCUGUGUGUUUGUAUUCCAUACUGGAAGAAUUAUUCAGUGAGAGCUUCUAUAAAGUUGUUCAGUCCAUUAGAGGGAAACCAGUUCACUUAGAUCAAGGGUCUGCACAACUAAGUCAGUAACAGGAACAUCAAGUCUGGGCUGGAACCAUGCAAUACUACCAAACAGAAGCUGGACCCAUGUUGCCAUUUAAGUCUGUUCCUUGGAUCAUAACACAGAGUUCCCUGUCCCAAGACACAGGCCCAUUUCUGCCAGUAUGUGACGUGGGGAAAGUCGCUACCUGGGGCUCAGUUUCUGCACGUGUAGAGCUGAGAUAGUCGCUGCUGAAAUGAAGUGCUGUUGUGUUUCUGUACUAUAGUAAAGGUCAGAAGCUCCCCAUUAUUAAAAUAUGGCUUACCAUAUCAUAUUAUACUGGUGCUGAAUUCUGGACUUUAGCAUGCAGGAUUGUGCUGGUUUCCAUUGUAGCUCUGUGUGUAACAAUUUUAGGUAGGUAUAGAUGUAAUCAGGCCAGAAGCUGUUAGGACCAUUUGGCUGUUGACCUCAUAAAGCAGUGCAGAAGUGGAACCAUUUUUGGUAUACACAUAGGAAGUGUUUCUGGAAUGAGAACAGAAGUCUAGGCUGGACACAUACUACUUAUAGCAAAGCUGAAUAACAACCCUUAUUAAAAUUAGUAUUUCUGUUUUUAUAAAGAAAGGCUGUUAAUAGGAAAAGAUAAUUAGUUUUUAAUAAAGAAUACACAUAUUUUAGUACCCAUCACAACCAACGAUGCAAGAUUUCAGCCCAUCACUUAAAUAAAUAGUUGUUCAGACCAUCAAGGUUAUGUUUGCAAUUCAAAACUUCCACGUAAAAUUAAGUAGUCACAGUAAGGACAGAAACGCCUUUAAAGCCACUGGUUUCCUGCACACACAGUGACUUCAUGUGAAUGUCUGAAAAUUAGCAUGCACAAAAAGCAGCCCUUGAAUGCAUUUAAAAACAUAGGGGAAAAUACUACACUAAAAGGGAGCAAGCACCCCAUCCUUCAUGCCCUCCCAUGCACGUGUACAUCUCAGGCAAGGGAGCCAAGAGAGGGGAGAGGGUUCAGGUUUUUGGCUGGUGCUGCUGCAUCGUACCUUACCCUGCUCCUCAGGCUGUGGCCAGCCCCUCCACAGUGCUCUGCCCUUGCUCCCCACCUCUCUCCCUGCAGGGCUGCAGCAAGGUGUAUGCUUCUUCCACCCUCCCUGGGGCCUGGAGCAUUAGAUGCAGCCUUGCUGCAUGCAUCAGGGUCUGUGCCUGCCUGUGCAGGGCGUAGGAAGGGUGUGCAGGGCAUAGGGACAGUCCAGGAUGCCCCUCAGUUAAUCACCAGGGCUUUCUUCUGCUCCACUUCAUGAAUAGUUUGGUGUUUUUUUAAGCAAGUGUUAACUCCCUCCACAGCUAAUAGUGCGUUUGCACCAGUGUACCACUGUGAAGCAGCCAAGCUGCUUGUACACAGCAAGAGGAACAGAGGUAAUAGGAACUGCACAGAGAGGCAAGAAAAUUACCCAAAAAGCAGCAAGCUGCCAGCCCGAGUAACUACACUGCCUCCUGCUGCCACCACUUAUGAUCUGGGUGAACCCAAGAGCCUGUCACCUUUUAUAGACUAGCUAAGAGAGAACCUCAGGGUGACAAAACCCUACUACAUGAAUGGAUGUACUCUGGAAAGCAGAGUUCCUCUCUGCACCUUCUGUCCUAAUUGUUUGUUUUCUUCUCUGUUUGCUUUAUUGUUUGGUAAACCAGCACUUACAAUCACUUUUACUAUGUGAUGUAUGGGAGUAGAAUAGUAUAUUUUCUUGUUAUACAAGGGAGGAGUAUAAAAUAGUUUUCUGAUUUCUUUCAGAAGCAAAUGACUAUUUUAUUUUUUAAGAGCAAUUGAUUGUGAAUCUCAGAGUAUAAAAAAGAGAAAUAAGCC